rnacentral:rRNA from 1 species
UUCGUAGGCGGUGUGGCAAGUUGGGAGUGAAAUCUCUGGGCUCAACCCAGAGACGGCUUCCAAAACUGCCGCGCUUGAGUGUGAGAGAGGCUCGUGGAAUUGCAGGUGUAGCGGUGAAAUGCGUAGAUAUCUGCAGGAACACCCGUGGCGAAAGCGGCGAGCUGGAUCACUACUGACGCUGAAGAACGAAAGCUAGGGAGCAAACA